CAAACUAGCAGCAUGUUUACCACUUCAAGUUUGAAUGAGGGCGGGCACUCCUAAGGCUGUCUGCAGCAGAUUUGCAGCUCAGAUGAGCCAGAUGAUGCGCAGGUAGCGUGAAACUUGUUACUAUUAUUGAAAGCACCCUUUGUAUGUACCACCAUGGAUGGGUGUUUUAACUAUAGCACUAUUGGAAGAAGUGUGAAUCUGGAAAUCAGAAUUUCAACCGAGGAAUUUGCACAGAGUGAAUGUAAGAUAUUGAAGCAAGAGGGACGAGGAUGCUGGCAUGUGAAAUAUUUAUAGUGACUUAAGGACAGACAGAUCCUAACAAUAGGAUGAAAGACAUAGGAAAAGAGAAAGCCUAAAUAACCUGAUUGAUCGGAUUUUGUUUCGAAACGAGCUCAGCUGACAUAUAAUAGAGUACAAUUAAAUGGCUAAAAUUGGAAGAAAGAAGAACAGUAAUGACCACUGCAAAGAAAAUAGAUUGUAUCUUUUCUCUGUCAUGCACAACUAAACAAGUAUUGAUCACAAAAUAUAACCCGAAGAUACCUACAGCAUUUGAAGCUCAACAGAAGGAGAACCAUAUAAUGGCCUAGAAGAUUUUAUAUACAUGUUACCUUUUAAGAUAGAAUGUGUUCAAAUAAAAAGAAGCAAUAGUUGUUUUUUUCUUCCAAUGGAUUCUACAUUUU